UUGCCCUGUUCGUAACCCCUUGACAGCAUAUUUCUGUGAAUAGGUUCCAUUCCAGUGCUACAUGAAAUCCAGUAAUGGAAGGCUGACAAAUUCCAUGCCCCUUCUGUAUUUGGAGACAAAA
rnacentral:snoRNA from 1 species